UAUUAAACUGAUAAGUAUUGAUUACCAUUAAACAUCAGCAACGUUACGGAUAGACGCUGUGAGCUUUGGAUUAAUAAAAGAACCAAGUACGAUCACGGUACGAGUGACGCAACGCUUCAGCAUCCAAUAUGGCGAUUGCUGAAAAGUUUACAGCUUGUAAGCAGAGCCAAGUACCCCAUCCUACGGCAAGGACCACCCAGCGGCUAUGGGUCUCGACAUGGCAAUUCAUUGGCAGGAAGUAGCAGUGGCAGGAUGAAUGGAAUGAGAAUGAAGCAUAGAAUAUAGCAAUGGCAUUUUAAACCCAGAAUAUUCUACCAUGUUAUUUCUACGUAUGAUCUCCGUCUUCCGGUGCUUGCCUUCGGGUGUGGCUGGUUCACUGAAGUCUUCGCUGACCACUUGAUUCAAGAUGUGAGACUCGAUCAGGCAAAAGAGAAACAGUGGGUAAUGACUGAAGUCCUCAUUGACCGUCAUCCAAGAUGUAAGAGUCGAUCACAUCGAUCACAUCGUGAACGGUAAACAUCUUAACUAAGCACUUGAGGAGCAUCAAGACCCCUAUACGUAUGGGAACGAGUCACUGUUUGAGUUAUUAAGUGAAAGAGGGUACCCUGGUGGUAUUCUCGACAGGAUCCUUAGAUCAGAGGAACAGAGGAACUUGCACGAAUGGCAAGAAGUAAGGAACUGUGAACUGCGAAUCGUUGAACAUUGACGGAUGAAAAUAAGAUAGAUCGAACCAUCUCGAGGAUACCUGAAGGAUCUUUUAAAUUAAUAGAUGGCCUUGUCCCUUGAUGACGACAACAAUGGCAUACGACAAGUGGAUUAUUUAUAGACAAAUUGUAUUAGACGAACCACUGAUAAUUGAUAUGAAUAUAAUUGCUCAAGGGUGUUCAAUCUCUGUGGGAAUUGUUCAAAAGAAUAAUUAUUAAGGUUUCGAGCCAGAACGUGGAUCCUGAAUAUCAAAGAGGGUUGGUUUAUUAGUCAAGUCAGUGUAACAAAUUCAAUGAGUUUGCGAGUCGGUAAAUUUCGAGUUUGAAAUUAAAGUAAAGUCAAAUUCAAAGUG